CGGAUGAGUUGCGAACGGGUGAGUAACGCGUAGGUAACCUGCCUGGUAGCGGGGGAUAACUAUUGGAAACGAUAGCUAAUACCGCAUAAGAGUAGAUGUUGCAUGACAUUUGCUUAAAAGGUGCAAUUGCAUCACUACCAGAUGGACCUGCGUUGUAUUAGCUAGUUGGUGGGGUAACGGCUCACCAAGGCGACGAUACAUAGCCGACCUGAGAGGGUGAUCGGCCACACUGGGACUGAGACACGGCCCAGACUCCUACGGGAGGCAGCAGUAGGGAAUCUUCGGCAAUGGACGGAAGUCUGACCGAGCAACGCCGCGUGAGUGAAGAAGGUUUUCGGAUCGUAAAGCUCUGUUGUAAGAGAAGAACGAGUGUGAGAGUGGAAAGUUCACACUGUGACGGUAUCUUACCAGAAAGGGACGGCUAACUACGUGCCAGCAGCCGCGGUAAUACGUAGGUCCCGAGCGUUGUCCGGAUUUAUUGGGCGUAAAGCGAGCGCAGGCGGUUAGAUAAGUCUGAAGUUAAAGGCUGUGGCUUAACCAUAGUACGCUUUGGAAACUGUUUAACUUGAGUGCAAGAGGGGAGAGUGGAAUUCCAUGUGUAGCGGUGAAAUG
rnacentral:rRNA from 1 species